UGGGGAAUUUUGGACAAUGGGCGAAAGCCUGAUCCAGCCAUGCCGCGUGCAGGAUGAAGGCCUUCGGGUUGUAAACUGCUUUUGNACGGAACGAAAAGACUCUGGUUAAUACCUGGGGUCCAUGACGGUACCGUAAGAAUAAGCACCGGCUAACUACGUGCCAGCAGCCGCGGUAAUACGUAGGGUGCAAGCGUUAAUCGGAAUUACUGGGCGUAAAGCGUGCGCAGGCGGUUAUAUAAGACAGAUGUGAAAUCCCCGGGCUCAACCUGGGAACUGCAUUUGUGACUGUAUAGCUAGAGUACGGCAGAGGGGGAUGGAACUCCGCGUGUAGCAGUGAAAUGCGUAGAUAUGCGGAGGAACACCGAUGGCGAAGGCAAUCCCCUGGCCUGUACUGACGCUCAUGCACGAAAGCGUGGGGAGCAAACAGGAUUAGAUACCCUGGUAGUCCACGCCCUAAACGAUGUCAACUGGGUUGUUGGGNCUUCACUGACUCAGUAACGAAGCUAACGCGUGAAGUUGACCGCCUGGGGAGUACGGCCGCAAGGUUGAAACUUAAAGGAA
rnacentral:rRNA from 1 species